CGAGCACGCGCGUGUGGCAUAUCAAUAAGCGGAGGAAAAGAAACUAACAAGGAUUCCCUUAGUAACGGCGAGUGAAGCGGGAAGAGCUCAAAUUUGAAAUCUUCAAGGCUUUACCUUGACGAAUUGUAGUUUAAAGAAGUGUUUUCUGUUGAAGUUUUGGUAAAAGUUCUUUGGAAUAGGACAUCAUAGAGGGUGAGAAUCCCGUAUUUGACCAUUAUUUUCAGCUGUGUGAUACACUUUCAAAGAGUCGGAUUGUUUGGGAGUGCAGUCCAAAAUGGGUGGUAAAUUUCAUCUAAAGCUAAAUAUUGGCGAGAGACCGAUAGCGAACAAGUACCGUGAGGGAAGGAUGAAAAGAACUUUGAAGAGAGAGUUAAACAGUACGUGAAAUUGUCAAAAGGGAAGCGUUUGACACCAGUGUUGUUUUCUCGAAAAUCAAUUAAAAAAGGCCGGAUUUUGUGUUGUAUUGACCUUAAAAGCUUUCUCCACUCUUUUCUUGUCUUUUUUAAUGCACUUUUCGUUUAACAAGUCAACAUCAGUUUCUUUUGUUGUAAAAGGGUCAUUGGAAGGUGGCUUUCUUUUCGGAGAAAGUGUUUAUAGCCUUUGAUCUCUGCAACCGGAGAGACUGAGGUCUGAAGCGUAGACUCUUCGGGGUUAGAUACAUUUGUGCUAAGCUAUAGCUUUUUAUAGACAACUUGUUGACUAUAUUUAGUCUUGUGGCUUACUCGCUUAUGCUAUUUUACCUACGCUUAGGAUGUUGAACUCUAUCACACACAG
rnacentral:rRNA from 1 species